UACGAAGGGGGCUAGCGUUGUUCGGAAUUACUGGGCGUAAAGCGCACGUAGGCGGAUCGAUCAGUCAGGGGUGAAAUCCCAGGGCUCAACCCUGGAACUGCCUUUGAUACUGUCGAUCUGGAGUAUGGAAGAGGUGAGUGGAAUUCCGAGUGUAGAGGUGAAAUUCGUAGAUAUUCGGAAGAACACCAGUGGCGAAGGCGGCUCACUGGCCUGGUAUUGACGCUGAGGUGCGAAAGCGUGGGGAGCAAACAGG
rnacentral:rRNA from 1 species